rnacentral:rRNA from 1 species
GACGAACGCUGGCGGCAUGCCUAAUACAUGCAAGUCGAGCGAACAGAUGAAGUGCUUGCACUUCUGACGUUAGCGGCGAACGGGUGAGUAACACGUAAGGAAUCUACCUAUAAGCGGGGGAUAACAUUCGGAAACGGGUGCUAAUACCGCAUAAUAUCUUCUUCCGCAUGGAAGAAGAUUGAAAGACGGCUCUGCUGUCACUUAUAGAUGACCUUGCGGCGCAUUAGUUAGUUGGUGGGGUAAUGGCCUACCAAGACGAUGAUGCAUAGCCGACCUGAGAGGGUGAUCGGCCACAUUGGGACUGAGACACGGCCCAAACUCCUACGGGAGGCAGCAGUAGGGAAUCUUCCGCAAUGGGCGAAAGCCUGACGGAGCAAUGCCGCGUGAGUGAAGAAGGCCUCGGUCGUAAC